UCGAGGGGCAGCAUCAGUGCUUGCACUGGAUGGCGACCGGCGCACGGGUGAGUAACGCGUAUGCAACCUGCCUGUACCUGGAGGAUAGCCCUUGGAAACGAGGAUAACACUGCGUAACAUAUAUUUACCGCAUGGUAUAUAUAUCAAAACCACGGUGGGUACAGAUGGGCAUGCGUACCAUUAGCUAGAUGGUAACGUAACGGCUUACCAUGGCUUCGAUGGCUAGGGGUUCUGCAAGGAAGGCCCCGCACACUGGUACUGAGACACGGACCAGACUCCUACGGGAGGCAGCAGUGAGGAAUAUCGGUCAAUGGGGGAAACCCUGAACCAGCCAAGCCGCGUGAAGGAAGACUGUCCUAUGGAUUGUAAACUUCUUCUCAGGCAGAAUAGAUAACCGUACUCGUACGGUAUUGCAUGUAUGCCAAGAAUAAGCAUCGGCUAACUCCGUGCCAGCAGCCGCGGUAAUACGGAGGAUGCAGGCGUUAUCCGGAUUUAUUAGGUAUCAAGGGUGUACAGGCUGCCUGGUAAGUCAGUGGUGAAAGUCGGAAGCUCAACUGCCGAAUUGCCUUUGAAAAUGUCAGGCUACGAGUAUGGAUGCGGAAGGCGAGAAUGUGUAGAGUAACGGUGAAAUGCAUAGAUAUUACACAGUACCCCGAUUGCGAAGGCAGCUUGCCAAACCAUUACUGACGCUGGAGCACGAAAGCGUGGGUAGCGUACAGGAUUAGAUACCCUGGUUGUCCACGCCGUAAACUUUGCUCACUCGCUGUUGGCGAUACACAGUCAGCGGCCAAGGGUAACCGAUAAGUGAGCCACCUGGGGAGUUCGACCGCAAGGUUGAUACUCAAAGGAAUUGACGGGGGCCCGCACAAGCGGUGGAACAUGUGGUUUAAUUCGAUGAUACGCGAGGAACCUUACCUGGGCUUAAAUGUACGAUGCAUUCCGCCGAAAGGCGGAUUUCCUUCGGGACUUUGUACAAGGUGCUGCAUGGUCGUCGUCAGCUCGUGCCGUGAGGUGUCGGGUUAAGUCCCAUAACGAGCGCAACCCCUAUUGUUAGUUACCAGCGCGUGAUGGCGGGGACUCUAGCGAAUCUGCCGGUGU
rnacentral:rRNA from 1 species